GAUGAAGAACGCAGCGAAAUGCGAUAAGUAAUGUGAAUUGCAGAAUUCAGUGAAUCAUCGAAUCUUUGAACGCACCUUGCGCCCUUUGGCUAUUCUGAAGGGCAUGCCUCUUCCAGCGUCAUUUCACCCCUCAAGCUCUGCUUGGUUUUGGGCCGCGCCGGCAACGGCGGGCCUCGAAAAUAGUGGCGACGCCAUCGUGCUCUCAGCGUAGUAAUUCUUCUCGCUGUUGGGUCCCGGUGGUCGUCCGCCAGCAACCCCCAACUUUCUUAAGUUUGACCUGGGAUGAGGUAGGGAUACCCGCUGAACUUAAGCAUAUCAAUAAGCGGAGGA
rnacentral:misc_RNA from 1 species